rnacentral:rRNA from 1 species
GGUUAAGCGACUAAGCGUACACGGUGGAUGCCCCGGCAGUCAGAGGCGAUGAAGGACGUGCUAAUCUGCGAUAAGCGUCGGUAAGGUGAUAUGAACCGUUAUAACCGGCGA